rnacentral:rRNA from 1 species
CGGGGGGAGCAAGCGUUGUUCGGAUUUACUGGGCGUAAAGGGCGCGUAGGCGGCCACCGCAAGUCGACUGUGAAAUCUCCGGGCUUAACGCGGAAAGGUCAGCCGAUACUGCGGGGCUAGAGUGCAGAAGGGGCAACUGGAAUUCUCGGUGUAGCGGUGAAAUGCGUAGAUAUCGAGAGGAACACCUGCGGCGAAGGCGGGUUGCUGGGCUGACACUGACGCUGAUGCGCGAAAGCUAGGGGAGCGAACGGGAUUAGAUACCCCGGUAGUCCUAGCCUUAAACGAUGAAUGCUUGGUGUCUGGGGUUUUAUAGUCCCCGGGUGCCGUCGCUAACGCUUUAAGCAUUCCGCCUGGGGAGUACGGUCGCAAGACUG